rnacentral:rRNA from 1 species
CAUGCAAGUCGAGGGGCAGCAUCAUUAAAGCUUGCUUUGAUGGAUGGCGACCGGCGCACGGGUGAGUAACACGUAUCCAACCUGCCGACAACACUGGGAUAGCCUUUCGAAAGAAAGAUUAAUACCGGAUGGCAUAGUCUUCCCGCAUGGGAUGACUAUUAAAGAAUUUCGGUUGUCGAUGGGGAUGCGUUCCAUUAGGCAGUUGGCGGGGUAACGGCCCACCAAACCAACGAUGGAUAGGGGUUCUGAGAGGAAGGUCCCCCACAUUGGAACUGAGACACGGUCCAAACUCCUACGGGAGGCAGCAGUGAGGAAUAUUGGUCAAUGGACGAGAGUCUGAACCAGCCAAGUAGCGUGAAGGAUGACUGCCCUAUGGGUUGUAAACUUCUUUUAUACGGGAAUAAAGUGAGCCACGUGUGGCUUUUUGUAUGUACCGUAUGAAUAAGGAUCGGCUAACUCCGUGCCAGCAGCCGCGGUAAUACGGAGGAUCCGAGCGUUAUCCGGAUUUAUUGGGUUUAAAGGGAGCGUAGGCGGGUUGUUAAGUCAGUUGUGAAAGUUUGCGGCUCAACCGUAAAAUUGCAGUUGAUACUGGCGACCUUGAGUGCAACAGAGGUAGGCGGAAUUCGUGGUGUAGCGGUGAAAUGCUUAGAUAUCACGAAGAACUCCGAUUGCGAAGGCAGCUUACUGGAUUGUAACUGACGCUGAUGCUCGAAAGUGUGGGUAUCAAACAGGAUUAGAUACCCUGGUAGUCCACACAGUAAACGAUGAAUACUCGCUGUUUGCGAUAUACAGUAAGCGGCCAAGCGAAAGCGUUAAGUAUUCCACCUGGGGAGUACGCCGGCAACGGUGAAACUCAAAGGAAUUGACGGGGGCCCGCACAAGCGGAGGAACAUGUGG